GGACACUCGAGUAGGCGAACACCGCUGAGACCUCCACAGCCCUGGUCCGUUCGGUUCCAAAAUACCGAACGGCCCCUCGUUCGGUAGAUAGAAAAUACCGAACGAGGGGAUUCAGGCGAACCCUCCCUAGCCUCUAUAGCUAGAGGUUUUCGUGUAUUUUAUUCCCUUAUGCCAGGACCGACCGCAGGGCCCAUUCGCAUGGAACCGGAUUCGGCUAUCUCAGUUCGUGCGGUCGGUCACUUCAGUCCCUCCAUACUUUUCCCGAACCCCUGGUCUGAUCUGGGUGAUUUUUGGAUAUGUUGGUCACCCAGAUCAGGGGUAUCCGGGGAUGUAGGAUUUAAAGAGGUACCCCUACGUUUAGGGGUACAUCCAGAAACGGGGGGAAUUGGUGUACUGGAUAAGGGGAUUAUGAUGCUGGCUGAGGGGAGGAGAUGUGUGGGAGGUUACCAGGACAGGAUUGG